UACGAAGGGGGCUAGCGUUGCUCGGAAUUACUGGGCGUAAAGCGCACGUAGGCGGAUUGGUCAGUUAGGGGUGAAAUCCUGGAGCUCAACUCCAGAACUGCCUUUAAUACCGCCAGUCUCGAGUCCGGAAGAGGUAAGUGGAACUCCUAGUGUAGAGGUGGAAUUCGUAGAUAUUAGGAAGAACACCAGUGGCGAAGGCGGCUUACUGGUCCGGUACUGACGCUGAGGUGCGAAAGCGUGGGGAGCAAACAGG
rnacentral:rRNA from 1 species